UAAGGAAUAUUGGUCAAUGGGCGAAAGCCUGAACCAGCCAUGCCGCGUGGAGGAUGACGGUCCUCUGGAUUGUAAACUUCUUUUAUUUGGGACGAAAAAAGGGGAUUCUUCCUCACUUGACGGUACCAGAUGAAUAAGCACCGGCUAACUCCGUGCCAGCAGCCGCGGUAAUACGGAGGGUGCAAGCGUUAUCCGGAUUCACUGGGGUUUAAAGGGUGCGUAGGCGGGCAGGUAAGUCAGUGGUGAAAUCUUUGGGGCUUAACCCGAAAACUGCCAUUGAUACUAUCUGUCUUGAAUAUGGUGGAGGUGAGCGGAACAUGUCAUGUAGCGGUGAAAUGCUUAGAUAUGACAUAGAACACCCAUUGCGAAGGCAGCUCACUACACCUAUAUUGACGCUGAGGCACGAAAGCGUGGGGAUCAAACAGG
rnacentral:rRNA from 1 species